AACGAACGCUGGCGGCAUGCCUAACACAUGCAAGUCGAACGAGAUCCUUCGGGGUCUAGUGGCGCACGAGUGCGUAACGCGUGGGAAUCUGCCCUUUGCUUCGGAAUAACAGUUAGAAAUGACUGCUAAUACCGGAUGAUGUCUUCGGACCAAAGAUUUAUCGGCAAGGGAUGAGCCCGCGUAGGAUUAGGUAGUAGGUGGGGUAAAGGCCUACCAAGCCGACGAUCCUUAGCUGGUCUGAGAGGAUGAUCAGCCACACUGGGACUGAGACACGGCCCAGACUCCUACGGGAGGCAGCAGUGGGGAAUAUUGGACAAUGGGCGAAAGCCUGAUCCAGCAAUGCCGCGUGAGUGAUGAAGGCCUUAGGGUUGUAAAGCUCUUUUACCCGGGAUGAUAAUGACAGUACCGGGAGAAUAAGCCCCGGCUAACUCCGUGCCAGCAGCCGCCGUAACAC
rnacentral:rRNA from 1 species